rnacentral:lncRNA from 9 species
CUUUCCUCCUCUGACCCACCAUCCAAUCUGUGAGCCAGGCACUUGUAGGAACCGAGGAUGAAAGACCCAAAGACCAAGGUCAUCAAGGGUUUCCGGUCUAGCCACCCCACUGCUGAGACGAUGGUUCCUGCUCUUUCCAGGCCCUCCCUCUACCGGGGUUGGCUUCCUUUCCUACAGGAAUCCUUAAGCAUGGCAAGCCAGCCCAGGCUUUACUACUUCAAUGGAAGAGGAAGGAUGGAAGCUUUCCCGUGGCGCUUGGCUGCAGCAGGAGUAGAAUUGAGAUGCUGGAGUUACUCAAAUUACUUUCGAGGGUAGGGGUGUCACUGAGCACUUACCUAGGGAGCAGCUGGGGAAAAUUCUUUAUAUGACACUCGAACGAAAAGCAGUUUUUACCACUUGUUCUUUCAAUGUUGGGCUGUGAACGGAUGAGUUAAUUUUUUUUAGCAAGUACUCCGAUGCUGUGGUAACUGGUUGUUGAUACUGAGCUCUUCCAAGGUGCAAAGGAAGGAAGGAGGGAGGAAGGAAGGAAAGGAGGGAGGAAGGGAAGAAGGGACUCAUUCCAGCUUACAGCUUCUCUUCAUUUCAUUCUUAUCAGCAAGUAUUGUGUUUAUUUAACUACAUUUGCCUCAAGAACAUUAAGAGACAGGUAAUUUUCAGAGUUCCUGUCAUGGCUCAGCAGAAACAAAUCUCACUAGCAUCCAUGAGGAUGCAGGUUCGAUCCCUGGCCUUGCUCAGUGGGUUAAGGAUCCGGGGUUGCUGUGAGCUGUGGUGUAGGUCAUAGACACAGCUCAGAUCCUGUGUUGCUGUGACUGUGGUGUAGGCUGGAAGCUGUAGGUAGCUCUGAUUCGACCCCUAGCCUGGGAACCUCCAUAUGCUGCAGGUGUAGCCCUAAAAAGACAAAAGACAAAAAAGAAAAAAAGUUCACGACCCAGCAUAUCUUCAAACUAGUUUCUUACGCUUCUAAUCACGAGAGUAUUUUAUAGAUAAGAGUAUACAUUUCUAUGGCCAAUUUCACAUUUAGUUUCUGCUCCAGUAUCAUAAUCAUAGUCUGUGUCCAAGCUGUUGCCCAUCUGAACCUGGAGGUCUCGCUCCAUCAUCUUUGACUGUCAGCAGUAACCUCCGCCUUCCCAGCCUUGCUUGUGGUACCACCUCUUUGGCACCAAUAGGAUUGAUGGGAUUUUUUUUUUU